AGAGACAAGGCUUAAUAGAAACCUACUGUUUGCAACUAUUCAAUCCGAUUUGCGUUUCCUGGGUCGCACCUACCUAGUGAGUUGUUGUUUUUUUGUGGCGUGGGCUUAGUUGGGUUUUUGUUUGUUUGUUUCUCCCGUCCUUCGAUUGGGUUGUGCGUAUUGCUGAAAACUCUUCAUCACCUGGAAGACGUUCGGAACCCCGUCCCCGGCAAUAAAAGAAGAGCCACCGGCAGGAUUUUCGAGCCACUCGACUUCUUGUUCGAGAUGAUCUUUUUUUUGCAGCUCUCAUUUCAAUCCGGUCAAGAAUGGAAAUCAUAAUUAAGCAUUUCAACAGAGCGAAAGAAUCCACCAGUUCUCCCUUCCGCAGCCCGGGACGCGCCUUGCAUCUGACCGAGUUUUGCACGGGGUUGACUUCUGGGGGAGCUUGUAUUUGUAUUUUAAUUACCUAUGCAAAGUAAACGAUGGUUUUGCAUUAUAGAA